rnacentral:rRNA from 1 species
CAGCAGCCGCGGUAAUACGAAGGGUGCAAGCGUUAAUCGGAAUUACUGGGCGUAAAGGGUGCGUAGGCGGUUGUUUAAGUCUGUUGUGAAAUCCCCGGGCUCAACCUGGGAAUGGCAAUGGGAACUGGACGGCUAGAGUGUGUCAGAGGAUGGUGGAAUUCCCGGUGUAGCGGUGAAAUGCGUAGAGAUCGGGAGGAACAUCAGUGGCGAAGGCGGCCAUCUGGGACAACACUGACGCUGAGGCACGAAAGCGUGGGGAGCAAACAGGAUUAGAUACCCCCGUAGUCCCUGUCUCUUAUAC